UAUUAAUCUGCAUCAUGCAGAUCCUAAUUUGGAUGGCUGCUCGCUUAUCCUUGUGUGUUUUUCUUUUAAAUUCUAAAACAUAUGUAAGCAAGUUCAUCAAGGGCAUGCGCCGUUCCCUACUAUGUCCAAUCACUAACCUGGCUGCUGGUGAUAAUGCAGCAAUCAAUAUUGAGCCAUACAACUGACCCCUUUGCCGUGAUUCUAUAAUCUUGAACUAAAGUUCAUUAAUGCCUCAGUAUUGAUCGUGCAAUUGUAAAUUCGAGUGACUGCAAACCAUUUGAUAUUCUUUGACGUAUGAAAUGCAAUCCAGGUGGCUACAAUAACUAGCAUGGUUUCAUAAGUUAGUACAAAUUUGUAGACAUGAACAGGCUAUGUGGACAAUAAUCAAAAUGUGAAGGAGACUGAACGUAUUAAUUGAAAAGCGAUCUCUGGUAGCUUGGAAUAGCUACUUAUAUCCUUUCUGUUGUCAUAUUGAUGUACUCUGUUGAUUAAUGAAAUCUGUAUAGUUUCUCGAUCUGGGUUCUUUUUGGUACAACCGAACUAAUGAAUGUGUGAAAUUAUAGGAUCUAUGUUGGAAGCAUAAUAUGAAAUGGAUCAUGAAGCACACACGUGUAACAAGUUCGUCAACAUGAAAUCCCAAAGGGUGAAAGUAGAAGGUUCUUUUGCUCCUGCAUUAGAAGAUGAAACUGAAACCAUUGAGCAUUUACUAGCAGAACCUAAAAGUGAAUAUGUUACGGUAGAUGGUGUCUUAUGCUGUGGCAAGGAGAAUGCAGGAAAGGGCGCGGACAUUGAAGAUUUUUCCUGUGGAUAUGACUUUGGGCUUAAUACAUACA